rnacentral:tRNA from 1 species
GCCAGAGUGGUGAAAUGGCAGACACGCAGGAUUUAGGAUCCUGUGCCUGAAAAGGCGUGGGAGUUCAACUCUCCCCUCUGGCA